UACGGAGGGUGCGAGCGUUGUCCGGAAUCACUGGGCGUAAAGGGCGCGUAGGCGGCAUGCCAAGCGUGUGGUGAAAGCCCGGGGCUCAACCCCGGGUCGGCCGUGCGGACUGGCGUGCUCGAGCACUGUAGGGGCGGGUGGAAUUCCGGGUGUAGCGGUGGAAUGCGUAGAGAUCCGGAAGAACACCGGUGGCGAAGGCGGCCCGCUGGGCAGGAAGGCUCGCAAGAGCCGGCUGACGCUGAGGCGCGACAGCGUGGGGAGCAAACGGG
rnacentral:rRNA from 1 species